UUUAACUGAGCGUUCAGUUACUUGACGUAGACCCGAAACCGGGCGACCUACCCAUGAGCAGGAUGAAGCGAAAGUAAAAUUUCGUGGAGGUCCGAACCCACGAGCGUUGAAAAGCUCGGGGAUGACUUGUGGGUAGCGGUGAAAUUCCAAUCGAGCCCGGAGAUAGCUGGUUCUCCCCGAAAUAGCUUUAGGGCUAGCCUCAAGGUGAGAGAUACGGAGGUAGAGCACUGAAUGUCCUAGGGGGUAUUGCACCUACCGAAGACUAUCAAACUCCGAAUGCCGUCAUCUUAUACUUGGGAGUCAGACUGUGGGUGAUAAGAUUCAUAGUCGAAAGGGCAACAGCCCAGAUCGUCAGCUAAGGUCCCUAAAUGUAAGUUAAGUGGUAAAGGAUGUGGGAUUGCACAGACAACCAGGAUGUUGGCUUAGAAGCAGCCACUCAUUCAAAGAGUGCGUAAUAGCUCACUGGUCGAGUGAUCCUGCGCCGAAGAUUUCCGGGGCUAAAACUUACUACCGAAGCUACGGCAUCAGUAAUGAUGGGUAGGGGAGCUUCCCAUACGGGUUGAAGCAUGACCGUAAGGACAUGUGGACAGUAUGGGAGUGAGAAUGUUGGCAUGAGUAGCGAGAUGUGGGUGAGAAUCCCACAGGCCGUAAACCCAAGGUUUCCAGGGGAAGGUUCGUCCGCCCUGGGUUAGUCGGGACCUAAGCUGAGGCCGAAAGGCGUAGGUGAUGGACAACAGGUUGAUAUUCCUGUACUACCGAUAACCGUUUGAGAGAAGGGA
rnacentral:rRNA from 1 species